rnacentral:rRNA from 1 species
AGCGAACGCUGGCGGCGUACUUAACACAUGCAAGUCGAACGAGGAUCAUCGGGUUAGCAAUAAUUCGGUGGUCCUAGUGGCGCACGGGUGAGUAACACGUGGGUGACCUGCCCUUGAGCUCGGGAUACCCCCUCGAAAGGGGGGCGUAAUACCGGAUACGUUCCUCGGUCGAAAGACUGAGGAGGAAAGGUGGCGCAAGCUGCCGCUCUUGGAGGGGCUCGCGGCCUAUCAGCUAGUUGGCGGGGUAACGGCCCACCAAGGCUAUGACGGGUAGCUGGUCUGAGAGGACGACCAGCCACACGGGGACUGAGACACGGCCCCGACUCCUACGGGAGGCAGCAGUGGGGAAUUUUCCGCAAUGGGCGAAAGCCUGACGGAGUGACGCCGCGUGUGGGACGAAGGCCUUCGGUCGUAACC